rnacentral:rRNA from 1 species
GACGAACGCUGGCGGCGUGCCUAAUACAUGCAAGUAGAACGCUGAAGGAGGAGCUUGCUUCUCUGGAUGAGUUGCGAACGGGUGAGUAACGCGUAGGUAACCUGCCUGGUAGCGGGGGAUAACUAUUGGAAACGAUAGCUAAUACCGCAUAAGAGUAGAUGUUGCAUGACAUUUACUUAAAAGGUGCAAUUGCAUCACUACCAGAUGGACCUGCGUUGUAUUAGCUAGUUGGUGGGGUAACGGCUCACCAAGGCGACGAUACAUAGCCGACCUGAGAGGGUGAUCGGCCACACUGGGACUGAGACACGGCCCAGACUCCUACGGGAGGCAGCAGUAGGGAAUCUUCGGCAAUGGACGGAAGUCUGACCGAGCAACGCCUCGUGAGUGAAGAAGGUUUUCGGAUCGUAAAGCUCUGUUGUAAGAGAAGAACGAGUGUGAGAGUGGAAAGUUCACACUGUGACGGUAUCUUACCAGAAAGGGACGGCUAACUACGUGCCAGCAGCCGCGGUAAUACGUAGGUCCCGAGCGUUGUCCGGAUUUAUUGGGCGUAAAGCGAGCGCAGGCGGUUAGAUAGUCUGAAGUUAAAGGCUGUGGCUUAACCAUAGUACGCUUUGGAAACUGUUUAACUUGAGUGCAAGAGGGGAGAGUGGAAUUCCAUGUGUAGCGGUGAAAUGCGUAGAUAUAUGGAGGAACACCGGUGGCGAAAGCGGCUCUCUGGCUUGUAACUGACGCUGAGGCUCGAAAGCGUGGGGAGCAAACAGG